GCUCUUUAGUUUGUACAUUACCCGAAAUAAAUUUGUCAAAUCAAAAAAACCUUUUCAAUUUUUGGAGAUUCUCUUGCGAUGUUUUGGAUUUUCUAGCCUACAUUUUCGCCACAAAAACUUCACAUUCCCAGUUCCCUAACAGACAGUGACAGCUCGCUAUGACAGACAAUUAUCUCUGGCUACACAGACACACACAUUUCUAUAUAUACAAAUUGAAUAUCUCGCCGUCAUUGCUUAGUGAGAGGCUGCACUUGGAGACUUGGGCGCCCACAACUAACCCACUUGAAUGCACUAACUAAGUUGCUCUGGUAUGCGAACAGCAAGAAGAAGAGCCCGGAAGUUGGCUGAGGCUCUGGUAUGCGAGCAGCUCCACAAUUCGACGGAGAAUUUAUAGCAGCUAGGUCCGCUUUAAUUUAGACACCGAAAGCUUUACAUAAACUUCAGCCCAUUCCCGCUCCCAGCUUGAAAUAGAAAGCACUUAACCAAAACUAAAAUCAAACAAAGCUCAGAUAUUUGGCUUGAAGGUCACGCUGAGGCUGAUUCGAGGUCUUUGGCCAUAAGGAAGCCCUGCCCAGCGGCUGCUGCCAAAAGGGGCAGACAGCUUGAACUUCCUUUAUGGCAAUGCGUGUCAAUUUUCAUUUUCUUUUUCAACAUCAUUAUUCUGCUGUCUGUUUUAUUUUCGUUAACACUCAGUUUUGGCCAAGUGUGUGCGCGCCAACUUCCACCGGCAUUUGCAUUAGGCAUACAAAACAUUUCGAGUAUAAUGUUUGGCAUUCAAGACUCGCCUUAGUAAAUUAAAUAAUAAAUAUUAAAAAAAAGCAUGCGAGAAUAAAUAGCGGAACCAAAUUAGGAAGUGGCCACAAUACACACGGUAACCAACUGGCCACUGGCCAGAAUGUCAGGCCCAUAUUUGGAGCCCAAGCAACAACAAAAACAACAACAACAAACUGAGCCGGGUCGUCAAGUGGAUAUUUGUGCGGUUGGGAAUCUAAAACGUUGUCAUUGGCAUAUUAAACACUAUUCGAUAUCUGAUAGAUGUAUGUAUAUGUAUGUAUGUAACUAUAUGUUUGGGUUUCCCAUUAUGACUACGGAUAGCUUGAAUUGCGGUUCGUUUGACAUACAAAUAUGCGCUAUCAAAUGUUUAUAGCUUAAGAGAUAACUCAAUUAUGGACACUACUUAAUGUACAAAAUUGUUAGUGGUAAUAAACGCAAGCUGACAUA